GACGAAGAUCACCGCGGUUAGGAGGGGAAGAUCGCCGUGGUUAGUAUUUUAAUGUUCUCAUAAUUUCGCUACUGCCCCAAUUUUUUAUUUUCCUUUUCUUUUGUUUUUGGUUUCAAUCGAUCUAGGUUAAGCAAGUUUUGCAAGGAUUUCUCACUUGAUUUAGAUUUUUAUUCACAAGGUUCUGAAGAUUUUCUUUUGGAUCAGCAGUUCUUCCGAUGAAGUGAGAGCUUCGUUACUUUUUUUUCUUCUUUGUGAAGUUGUUGCUCUUCUGGUCCUCGGUGUUCUCCGAUUCCGGCUUCUUUCUUCGGUGGAGUGAGAGCUUGGAACCCUAGGAUCGUCAGAUCGGACGGCGGAUCGGCCCAGAAAAUAGAGGUGAGAACCGUUUCUUGGAUAGGAGAGGUGGAAGCUCCUGGAAUUAGCUGGAUCUCUCUCAUUGCCGAAAGCAAUUCCAUUUACUUGGAUCUUAAAUAAGAUUAUCAUCUACCUCAUGUUUGUGAAUGUCUGCACUGUAAUACUAAUUUGGUAAAAGGUGUGCUUUUUGGCUGGCGCUGUUUGGAAUUUUCUGAGAUUUGGUAGCAUGAGCACAAGACGGGGUUUUAAUUUCCAUUUGAUAUUAUUUAAGUGUCAUACGGUAUUUUCUUGAGCAUACUGCUACCCCAAGGACAGCACUAAAUCCUUUAGCUGACCUAUCAACUAUGUGAGAACAUUAUCUGUUGUUUGAUUUGAAGUACUGGUUUGUUUAUUCCUUGAGAGCAGAGAUCAAUGAAAUUCCAUACCGCCUUGUGGUUGCUGGUCGAUUUUUCUUCAACAUGCGUGGUCUUUGAAACUUGUAUUUGUGGAGG